GGUGCGCACCAAUCUCGGAGGCCAUGACCUUCGCUCCAAUGGGAAAACUUUGGGAAAACGAGCGAAGGAGGCACUGUUCACAGUGAUCAGCUGCGCGCGGGCGGCGCGUUUGUGCUAGAACUUCGUUUGUGCAGCAUUAAUGACGCUCGAAUGCAUGCGCCGACUAAAGUUUAUCCACAUGCCCAGGGAGAACACGGUGUCUAAGAUAUGCAGGUGAUGUUUAUGUAUCCGAUGCCGUUCGAUAUUACGGAAUCGGCCCUCUUUGAUGCGGUUACAACAGGCGAUGAAUUAUCUGUUCGCCGACUCCUAGAUGACAAUGCUCCAUUUACCAUCACCAACAAUGAUGGCGAAAACUUCCUUCAUCUGCUGGCUAAGCAAAAUUUCAGUACAUUGUCACCACAAGACAGUGCUUUAAGGCAGAAACGUCGGCGCAACAUCAUUUAUAUGCUUUCCGACGAAGGGCUUCGCCCCGACCUCCGCGAUUCGAUGGGCAGAACUCCUAUGCACUAUGCCAUCCAGAAUUCAGACCCACACCUUUUCAAGAUAUUACUUCAGUGUUCUCCAAAUCCACCUGAUGACAUAUGUGCUGCCGCCGUGCCCACAUUAUUGCAAGAGGUGCUUAACAAGUUUAAGCCUGGACUAUGCGCUGCUAUUCAACAGCAUUGUAUAACAGACGUACGUAGAAUAGUUAACAUGUGGUGCCGCACUGAUGCCCUCACGAAUGGCUGCAAUCUUAAGGAACUUGCUCUGGAGUCCGGCCACGAAGAAAUCAUAAGCUUGAUACUUGGAGUCGAGCCAUCAAUGCGUCUAGUCCACCAUGUGCUUGCAAGAAAAGUUGAGAAAGUAAGAAAGCUCCUUGGGACGGAACGGGGGAAUCUGAACCUGGAUCUUCGAAACAUGAGUGACCACGGUGCCCCAAUUCUAUACUAUGCCAUUGCUAACAAGGAUACGGACAUUGUGAGGCUUCUUGUGUCAGCAGGCUGUCACAUCUUUACACUUAUGCGUGAUGCGGACAAUCAAGAGAUUCCCGUUCUUUUCUCUGCUCUUACCGCGGAUAUGAGCCCCAAAUUGGCCAAUGCACUGAUGCCAAAGGACUUGCCAAGUCAGCGGGAAGUCAUCAGAAGACUUUUGUACAAGAGCAGGACUAUUCUGGAAGUUGCCCUUGAGAAAAGAAUACCUCCAGUGACAUUAGAAAUACUUAUAUACCGUGGAGGUGCUGAGCUGCUGGCUGGAAGAAACCCGGUAACAAUACAAUCACAUCUUUUGGAUAACAAGACAGUGAGAGACAUUGCUCAGCAUGCUGAACAAUAUGAAUAUGUUGAAGCUGUUGAUAAGGUUGUUAGGGAGUGGGUGAAAAAUACCGCAAGUUAUCCUGAUCAGCGGCAGCUACUAGCCUUAUGUGGGUAUGACCACAUUACAGAGCUUUUUCCAAGAGACUCACUGAUGCAGUUGGCACCUGAUACUGUCAAAUACCUGGAAGGUGUUACGGAUUACCAGGAACAGAUUGCAGAACUCUCACGAGCUGUUGAGGAUGGAAACUAUGAAAGAUUUGAAGAAUUAAGAACAUACAGUUCUGCAGUGUUCAGAACAAAUAUAUCCUGGGAAGCAUGUCAAAAGGCAAAUGGCCAGCCACUUCUUCAUAGAGCUGUGCUGUUCAACCGUCCCCAUAUUGUAAAAACAAUUUUACACAACGUUCCUGCUGGUCAGUCUGUGGACACCCUUUUAGAUCAGCUGCCGGUAUUUUUUACAGCAUCACCGUACUGCCCUCCACUAUGCCUAUGCCAUGCCUGAUGGCGAUCAUUUAAUUAAGCUCCUCAUGAAUGCUGGCUGCUCUGAGCACACGCUUGACAGGAAAGGAAUGGAACCAUUAGACUUCAAGAUGCGUUGUGGGUCACCUGCGAUGGAGGCACUACUGAAGCAUAUACGCAGUAAG
rnacentral:misc_RNA from 1 species